GCGCCGUCAUCCCAAUCAUCACCAUCCACGGCGUCAUCGCCCAGGCCCAGUCACAGGCCGGCAAGACCUCCAUGAUCUCCCUCUUCGUCUGCCAGGUCAUUGAGACCAACAUCCACGAGUGAUUUCCGCAUAGCUUUUGUGUAUGACGGCUGGAGGACCAACUCAGACCUCGCUUGCCUCAGGGUCAGGAGGUCCAAGGCGCCACAAGACCGGGCCAGGAGUUUGCGUAAACCUGGGCCAGGAGUUUAUUUGAUAAAGGUUUCCAGAAUGAUUGGCCACACCUACCUAAAAAGUUCGGAAUUUAACCAUGAGCCCCUUCUGGCCUGGUUCCAUAUUCCAAGGCCCUUCCAUAAUCCAAUUCUUUGUCCCGAACCAUCCAUUGAAGAACAUAGACUGUGCAGAAUAUCAGUUUGUUAUAUUUGCAUCAGAUGAACUAUGGGAGCACUUGAACAAUCAGGAAGCCGUGGAUAUAGUUCAUUGUUACCUCGGAAUGUAAGAUGAUUUGCCAUACUUCCUCAUAUAUUAUGCUUUCCAAGUGUACUAAAAUAUGCUUCCCAUUUUAGUCUUGCCUUAUAUUGUUGAUAUGUAACCCAAAUAGGUUAAACCGAAUGUUGUAUCGAAACAUGUAGUAUUUACUUGUAAAAGAGCAACUGAGAGCCUGGUGGGUCGGGAUGAAGGAAGAAUACCCCUGAGAGCCCAAACUCGAGUUCGAAAAUAUAUGCAGAAUAUAUGUUUGCCUCUGCUAUAUACAUAUGUAAUUUUCCAGUCUAUGUUUUCUGCUCCUCUUUGGCGCAAUGUGGAAGAUGUUGGUUUUAAAGGCUAGUAGGGAAGCCAGUGGUGGAGUAAUCAGUGGUUUAUGAGGUCAUGGAGCCCAAGACCGGAUGCAGCAGAAGAAGCAGCGUCGUUGCCGUGCACUAAGAUGGUCAACAGAGUCUGUGAGGCGGAAGAUCCAUAGCAUACAGCGGAUGCGUUGGAUAUGCCAUUCCUCAAUGUGUACCUGGAUUCUCUUUGGGCAUCUAAUUUUUGGGCAGGUGUUAUUCUAGCAGCCCGCUUCGCUUUGGUCUUCAGAUUAAGCAAUUCUCUGCAUUCAAGGGAAAGGUCAAUAGCUGCUCUCCAAAGCCAACGCCGGUCUGUAUUCAUCUGCUGAAUCAGGUUGGCCACGACGAGGAGACGAACACGACCGCGUCGUCCCAUCGACCUCCGGGGCCUUUGAUAUCUCAGGUUAGCUCGAAAUGUUAUGUUUCUUCUUAGGUUAUAAUAUAUUAAUAUUUGCCGAUUCUUCACUAGAUUCCUCGGUUCUUGCAGGGUGUGUGUCAUGUUAUGUUGGGUUUCCUAUGAUUUCGGUGCGGGUAGCUACAUAGCGUCCGUGGGCCAUGCGUGUGAUGCAUGCUAGGUAAUCUUGACUCCGGUGCGACGGUGCUGGAACCGCCUCCGCUGGUUACGACUGCCGUGGCUAUGCUUGAAGGCAGAAUCACCACGAUGACUGUAGUUGCCGCACUCAGAUCGGAACGGCAGCCACGGUAUAUGAUCAAGCCUUUACUGUCGUCCUCUGAAUUUGGGAUCACGUGCAUCUGCAAGAGAAAGAGCAUGAGAGCCUAAGAGGGUAGUACCACGUUACAAACAAGUUGAUUUUUAUCCAUGGAAUUGAUCUGAUGCGAAGCUGAUGCCACAUAAAAGGACCAAGGAAUGAACACGAAGCAAAUUAUAACUCUCAGGUUCAUGGUUUAGGAGCAGGAAAGAACACUUCCAAUUGUGUAGAUGGGUCAUCAGUAGCAUUUCUCUAAUUAUUCUUAUAGAGACUGAUUUGGAUUGUUGAAGGAAAGGAUCUCAAUUCUCAAUAGCAAACUGCACUGGGACAUCUUGGACCUAUUCUCCACAUUUCUGAGCUAGAUAUGUUGGUGAGCGGGCAGGCGGUGCUAGACAUGGCAGGGCAAGAGAGCACGAGGGAGAAUGUCGAAGGGGGCAACAUAAAUGAGAGUUCACCGUUAUGCUCAUGUGGUCAGAACCUAGAGCAUGGAUACAAGACCUCCAUCAUCGUCUAUGGACAUCAGAGCAGAGGAGAAGUGAUGAUGGACAUCAGACCAGUGAAGACAGUGAGCAUGGGCUCCUAGAC